rnacentral:lncRNA from 1 species
UCAACAUUAGCUGUUAUAACUCUGGAUAGUCUUGUUAUCCAUAUAAAUAUCCAAUCUUUCUUUGAACCUGUUAAAUUCUUGCCCUGCAAAAUGUCCUCUGGCAAUGAGAUCUAAUUAUACUGCUGAAUAUUUUUCAAGGGGCAACACUGGGAAAGUGGCCCUUCCAAUUAACGAGGCCCUUUUGGAAUUAGUGAAAACCCUAUAGAAUACUCCAACUUUGUUGGCUCCCACAGCUGUGUGCGCAGACAAGCACUACUGUGUUUCUGCCCAGGGAUUUGAGUGUUUUCAUUCUUAUGCAGCCAUGAAUUCUCUGGUGGUUACGACUGCGAAUGAGCAAGCGAGGCAAAGGACGUUCAACUCAGCCACCAGAUAAAGAGGGACCAAAAGAAAUGACAUGUUGGAUAGAAUGAUUUAUUCCACUUCAUCUGUUCAAAUGUGUAUAGCUAAUCAGCAAGCACUAUUUGCUAAGUAUAAUUUUUUUAAUUGGCAGUCUGUCAAAAUUUACAGAUAUGCUUCCUCGAGACACAAGGUCAAGGCUAUUUUGGCAGAGGGCCGUCCGGUAGCAAAAACAUCUUAUCAGUUCGUGUUGGAUGUUGUAGAAGUUUCCUCUAGAAUUAUUACCUCUGUAAUAAUAAUGAGAAUAGUCUUGUGGCUGCAAAAUUCUGGUAUUGUUCCCAUUAUACAACUGGCUAUAGAGGACCUUCCCUUUGAUGGUCCUUUUCUAUUAUCAAAUAAAACUGAUGAGACAUUACAUUUCUUCAGAGACCAUGGAUGGCUGUUCCUUAGAGGUCUCUGUAUCCUAAGAGGUAUGACAGCAUAGACCUCCAAAUCCUUAGUACUCCCAACAAUUCUGUAGACAGCCUGUCUAUCCACCCAGGCAAUUUGAUUUUUGGAAAAAGAAGCAUAGACCUCAGAGAAGGAGAUCCUCUAGCUCUGGCUCCAAUCAGGAGGCUCAUACCCAGCUAUCUGUGGGGAAACCUCCCUUUUGGCGGUUCCCAUGAGGAUAACAGUUCAGUCACUUGCAGUUUGGUGGCUAUUUCCCCUGUUUAGGAACAGACUAUCCCACUCUUUAGGUGCUUGGGAGGCCAUAAAGG